rnacentral:rRNA from 1 species
GACGAACGCUGGCGGCGUGCUUAACACAUGCAAGUCGAACGGAAAGGCCCUGCUUGCAGGGUACUCGAGUGGCGAACGGGUGAGUAACACGUGGGUGAUCUGCCCUGCACUUCGGGAUAAGCCUGGGAAACUGGGUCUAAUACCGGAUAGGAGCCAUUUUUAGUGUGAUGGUUGAAAAGUUUUUUCGGUGUAGGAUGAGCUCGCGGCCUAUCAGCUUGUUGGUGGGGUAAUGGCCUACCAAGGCGGCGACGGGUAGCCGGCCUGAGAGGGUGGACGGCCACAUUGGGACUGAGAUACGGCCCAGACUCCUACGGGAGGCAGCAGUGGGGAAUAUUGCACAAUGGGCGCAAGCCUGAUGCAGCGACGCCGCGUGGGGGAUGACGGCCUUCGGGUUGUAAACUCCUUUCGCUAGGGACGAAGCUUUUUGUGACGGUACCUAGAUAAGAAGCACCGGCUAACUACGUG